AUUAAAACAAGGGAAGAACAGAGAGGUAAGCACAACGAAGAGAACCAGUGCCAAUUCACUUAUGUGUAUUAUCUGAAGUGAGGAUCCUCCUAAAGCUGGGUUCAGUAAUCCACCUGGAAGACCGGAGAAUCUGAGGGCUAAGAAGGGCAGCCAAGUGCCUCACCCUGUUUGAGAGCUGCCUCAGUCCCUUCCAAGGAAGAUGGAAUCUUAACAGGGUCAAGACUGUCCAGCUGCAGACUGUGUUUUCCUGCUCCAUCAGUCAAUAGUGAAUCAAAUAUGAGCAUUAAGAAGGUUUCCAAGAUUAAAAACAGGAGAACAGUUACUCUGUGCACAAGGUGGAUAUGACAGAGAGGAUCACCUACUUAUUGCAGAGAAUGCAACAAAGAGAG
ensembl:lncRNA